rnacentral:rRNA from 1 species
UACGUAGGGUGCGAGCGUUUGUCCGGAAUUAUUGGGCGUAAAGGGCUCGUAGGCGGUCUGUCACGUCGAAAGUGAAAACUCAGGGCUUAACCCUGAGCCUGCUUCCGAUACGGGCAGACUAGAGGUAUGCAGGGGGAGAAUGGAAUUCCUGGUGUAGCGGUGAAAUGCGCAGAUAUCAGGAGGAACACCAGUGGCGAAGGCGGUUCUCUGGGCAUUACCUGACGCUGAGGAGCGAAAGUGUGGGGAGCGAACAGG